rnacentral:lncRNA from 1 species
UUAUACUUUACCUAACAUUAAAAAAAAAAAUUGAAAAAAAUGUCGAACGUAAGUGCUGCCAUUAUUUGGGAAUUGACGAAGCAUAACAAUUGUUUUAUUAGGAGGAAUAAAACUGGAAGAAAGGAAAUAUUUUUAUGUGACCCAUACAAUAUAAAAUUUAAAAACACUCCACACAGUAGUGGUAAGAAUAUAAUAAAAUCAGCAAUAGUACGUAUAUACAUAUAUACGAACACGAACUUGUAUAUACAUAUAUAUAUAUAUAUAUAUAUGCUCUAUUAAUGUUAAUAAAAAUACGUUUUAUGACAAUAUAUAUGUAUGUAUAUGUGUUUUUUUAUUUUAGGCUUGGUAUCGAACAAUGACGUCAAUUUUGUUUUCAAUGCAGGCAAAAUAUAUUUAUCUGUUAAAAUUGUAGGAAAGAGUAAAGUUACAAAUCAAAAGUUCAAAGCACGUGAUAUGAAAUCAGCUGAAAAAUUACUUGAAACACAUGGUAAAAACUUGAAUGCCAAACAGAAAAAAAUUUUAAUGAUUAAAUUCAAACGAUUAUCAAAGUUACAUAAUAUUAAACCAAAGGAAAAUAACUGAAUAUCAAUAUGUUGUUAAAACGGACGCGUAUAUGCAUAUAGCACACAUAUUUGUUAAGAACAUUUUUAAACUCGCACAUCUGCGUGAGAGAAGUUAUAAGAAGUAUAUAUAUAUAUAUAUAUAUAUAUAUGUAUGAAUUCAGAUAUGUAUGUAUGUAUGUAUGCAUGCAUCGGUGCAUGUAUCUAUGUAAUAUUUUUUUUUUUUUUUUUUUUUCAUUUUUUUUUAAAAUUAAAAUCUAACAGAUAAAUUUAAUUUAUAAUUUAAAAAAUAACUAUAUUACAAUUAAUACUAUCUCCUAUUUUUUUUAUUUAUCUAUUUCUUUUGGUUUUUAAAAAAAAGAAAAAAAAAUAUAUUGCUUAAUUUUAAAAGUAUAAUGAGUGAGAACAUAUGUUGAAAGAACAAAGUUAUGAUAAGUAGUGAAAUAAUAAAUGGCUAACAAGA